UGGGAUUCGAACUCAUGACCUCUGACUCCAAAGCCCAUGCUCUUUCCACUGAGCCAGCUGUGUGACUGUGGGCAAGUCACUUAACUUCUCUGGGCCUCAGUUACCUCAUCUGGAAAAUGGGGAUUAACUGUGAGCCUCACGUGGGACAACCUGAUUCCCCUGUGUCUACCCCAGCGCUUAGAACAGUGCUCUGCACAUAGUAAGUGCUUAACAAAUACCAACACAGCUGACAAGUGGCAGAGCCGGGAUUUGAACCCAUGACCUCUGACUCCCCAGCCCAGGCUCUUUCCACUGAGCCACUUAUCCGUGUAGUUCUUCAUUCACGUGCAGUGCUUUGCACACCUACUAAUUACUUCCACUUCAGCUCUCUGCCAAAUCUGCGUAGAUAUAUGUGGACUAUUUGCAUACACGCAGAUGUCGUGAUUUACCCCAUUUGAUUUAAUUGUAUCUGAGCGCUUACUGUGUGCAGAGCACUAUAGUAAGUGCUUGGGCGAGUACAGUGUAACAAUAAAAACCUUCCCUGUCCACAACGAGCUUACAGUCUAGAGAACUUAUGUGACUUAAGCAACAGAAGCCAGAAACCUUUCCCCUCUGGGGCUUUGUGACCUCACCAGCCCUCUCCAGCCUCCUGUGACCUCACUCCCCGAGCAGGGCUGCCCCAUCAAGCUUCUCUUGCCCACUUGCCUCGGAACACCUGAAAGUGGCAGUGGGCCUACAUGACCACCGUUUCACCCAGAGAGUCCAGAGCGGCUCUCAGCCCUGAAAAUGGAGUUGACAUGGCCACCAUGGACCUAAGCAACGAGGAGUCCCAGGAGGCGGAAGUGACAGAUCCAGCAGAGAGAGGAUUCUGGUUGAGCCAGUGUGGCCUAGGCUAUUCUAGCCCUUGCUGCCUGUCAUCCAGAAGGCAGCGUGGCCUAGUGGAAAGAGCCCGAGCUUGGGAGUCAGAAGACUUGGGUUCUAAUCCCAGCUCUGCCGAUUGCUUGCUGUGGGUCCUUGUGCAAGUCUCUUCACUUCUCCCUGCCUCAGUUCCCCCAACUGUAAAAUGGGGACUAAAUGCUACUCCCUCCUCCUUAGACCGUGAGCCCCGUGUGGGACAGGGACUGUGUCCAACCUGAUUAAUUUGUAUCUAUAAUAAUAAUAAUUAUGGUAUUUGUUAAGCGCUUACUAUGCACCAAGCACUGUUCUAAGCACUGGGGUAGAUACAGGGUAAUCAGGUUGUCCCACGUGGGGCUCACACUUUAAUCCCCAUUUUACAGAUGAGGUAACUGAGGCACAGAGAAGUUAAGUGACUCGCCCAAGGUCACACAGGAGACAAGUGGCAGAGGCGGGAUUAGAACCCACGUCCUUUGACUCCCAAGCCUGUGCUCUUUCCAUUAAGCCACGCUGCUUCAUCCCAGAGCUCAGAGAAUUGCUUGACACAUAGUAAGCCUUUAACGAAUAUAAUAAUAAUAUUAAUAAUGAUAGUAAUAUUAAGUGGUG
rnacentral:lncRNA from 1 species